UGUGAGCACUGUCAUGCUAAGGAGAUUAUUACAUGUGUUAAUUAAAAGACAAUAAAUGAAGAACUUAAAAGACUGUAAUUUAGGAGCUCAGCAUUAAAUAAGCAUGCCAGUGGAUCAAGCAUUAGAGUUUUCUCUUAUUGUAUUACAACGAUUUAUUUAGUUUGCAAUGAAAAAAUGCUGUUAGGAAAGUAAAUAAAUAAAUCCCCCGUGUUUUGCGAGUUUUAAUUAAGGGUUACUGUAGUAAGCAUGUCGGUUUAUUUAAGGACUGGCUUCCUUUGGCUCACGUAUCUAAAGACAAUGUAAUUGAACUUUUGCGGUGGUUUGGUCACGUACAAAGUAGAAACAACGCUCACGUUGGACCCACAGUGAGGAAUCGGCCCUGUGCUCCAGUUGUCGGCAUUAAUCAGAAUUAUUGGUGACAUGAAAGAUGAUGCAGACCACAUUUGCCCUGCGGUGACAGACCAUUGUGAACCAGUGAAAGAGCUCACGGAACUCUGGCCUGCUCUUAAAAUGGAGUCUGAGGUGUGUGCAGAGUCCGAUGGGGUUAGGGUUAUAAACCAGAACCUGCCCAACACAUUCUACUCUGAGCUUGACCGACAUCUUCCUCAAUUGAAGACAGAACUGGGAAGACAGUUUCUUUGGCUAAAAUCUUAAAAAUCCAUUAUGAACAGAUAAAGAGGUCUACUGUUCAAAUACACAUUAUACAUUUUAUUGGUAGGAUUUUGUAUUGGAAGAGGAAAGUUUCUAAUAAGCCCAAACACUACAAUUUGUCAACUUUGG